AUUCUGCCUCCACUGUCACUGCUGCUGCUGCUGCAGUGUUGCCCAGAGUUGCACUGAAGAGCAGAGUGGGGCUCUGUGACCUCAUAACAACGUGGCAUCCUGUAAACUGUCAUCAACAUUGGGCAUUGCACCCCCCUACCAGUACACCCCAAAGUACACCUAUGUUGCCUUUGCAUUCAGGCACCAUCUCUCUGUUCAGUUUCCUUGUUCUGCAUAGGAACAGAAGGAGCACAAGUAGAGAAGGGUGGAUGUAUUCUGGGAGGCAGCACUGUGCACGGAAAUGCAGAGGCACUCAUAUCUUAUUCCUCAGAAAUCCCCAUCAAAAGCCUCAUAUGAAGGUGCCAUUAAAAAACCCAAUUGCAGGUGCCUUUCUUUGGCACUACACAUUUGUCUAGACAGCAUUCUGGCAAGAAGCCUGCUUUUCCCAAUACUUCUGCUACAGCUUCAUGACCAGGCAGCACUGCUUCCCUCCACUGCUAUGAUGCAAAGGUGGGUGUGCAGUGCUCAGGCUUCUCCCAGAUCCUUUUUCCCUUUGAGGCAGGGAAAUGUGCCACAUGCCACCAUCAGGCCUGGUGUCCUGUAGAGCAACCCACAGAAAAAGCUCCACACUUUGCUGGGAAGACCAGGGUGACAGAUCCCUCAGCAGUUCUCCAGAGGUCCUGACCUCCCUCUUGCUUGUCCUUGGACACCAUGAGGUACUGCCAUGGACACAAAGGUGCGAUGUUCCCGCAGGUAAGAGCUAACACGAGUGGCCUUUUAGCUGAGCAGCUCUUCCAGGAAGGAAAUACUCAUGGACUUACGUGUGCCGGCCACCCCAGGCUCAGAAUCUCUGCAAGGCCUUAGAGAGCACCUUUGGUAUAAAUGCCCAGGAAGCAUCUGUUAAACCCCAGGUGUUUAUAGCCACAAGCAGAGAGGCAUUGACAGCUUUCCACCUCUGGGCUGUCUCCAAGGCUCAUAAGCAGUUUCCAGCUGACAAGCUGCAUAAACUUGGCCAAUACCAACCUCUGGAAUCAAGCACAGAACG